AGUCGGGGGAGGGGAGACAAGAUGAGACCACGUGACGGCGCCUGUGCCUGUGGGCGAGCUGCCCUCCUGCGUGGGGCUUUCCGGGAGAAGCCAUCUUGAGAGUGGGUACGUGGCGGGUCAGGCGGCGGGAAGCGUGCUUCCCCCAGGCUGCCGCCAUCUUGCAAACGGGCAUAGUCUACCUCCGCCUAGGGCGCGAGGGUAAAGAGAGGUGCGUCGCCAUCUUGAGGUUGGGCAGAAAAACUAUAGGGCUCCAUCUUGCUUGUGGGCACCUGCCCGAUGUCUGAUUCCAACUCAGACGGCCCUAUUGGGUUAGCGCGCGGGGAUCUGGCGGUCUAACGCGUCCCAGAUGCGGGUGGGCUCUUUCCACCGCUGGCCACCAAGCAUGCUUCGCGAUGUGGUCAGGGGUUGUCCCGACUGUCUUUUGUUCACCCCAGAGCAACGAAGCCCGACCAGGGUCCCCUCCCCUGACUGCGGGAAUGGAGAAACCGAGGCCCGGGGCGCACGGUAACUCCGCCCGCCCUGUACUCUGGGAAAUCGAGGCCUGGGAUCCACCAUCGUCGGGCGUUGAGGAUGGACUGGGUCUCCAUCUCAUCGGCAGAACACCCCGAACUUAUCCCGGGGAGUGGAGACUUAAGAGUUGAUCAGGGCUGGGCGGUAGGGGUGCCCUCGGGAGGAGUGGCAGAAACCAGGGCCCGCUGAAUGGGGUGAGUGGGGGAGGGGCAGACCAAGUCGAAGAGGCCAGAACCAGGGAGGCCCGUGGCAGUGGUGAUGAUCCGCUUUCCCAGGCUUUUGGAAGCCUCGCAGACCUUCAGUAAAUAGAGGAAAAUGUCGUAAAUAUUGUUUGCUAUACACCUCGUGCUGAAAACUGGAUUUUUUAUUUUUUUUGGCUGUAGCUGUGUUUCGUGGAUGUUCCCGGGCCAGGGAUAGAACCUCUGUCACCCUGGUCUCAGCAGUCAGUAACAACCCGGGAUCCUUAAAUUGCUGCGCCACAGCAGAACUCUGAAAAGGGGAUUUUUUAAAUUUUUAGAGAGGGAGAAGAAAUGAUGUUUCUUAUUUCCCUAAAGGGAGAUCAGGCUUUUGCUCCUGCCUCUCAGGUCGGUUUUAGCUUGGGCGGAGUCAUAGCAACAGCACCCCUUUCAGGGCCAUGCGCAGGCCUGGACUGGGCCCAGGAGCCUUGGGGUAGGCCACUCCCGAGCCAGCGGACUUUCAGGGAUUAGAGGCGGCUGCUGAUUUCCACAGAGGCCUCCCACCCAGCGGUCCUUGGCUCUCUCUUUGGCCUAAGGCUAUCUGAAGUCCAAGACCGGCUAAUUGGGAAUGUCCUGGUGGAUUUCGGAGAAUCCCCAACACAUUCCUGGGGAUUUGCUGCCUCCAGGACUGUGUCGGCCCUAGGCUCUAGGUACCACCAGACUCAGCUGCUCAUUUGUUGCCUCAGUGACUAGUGCCAGCAACGGUCCCCUUGACAGCAGGCAGGGCUGAUGGAGACAUGGGAGUACUCCCGCCCAGCCUUAUUGGUGGACCCUCCACCAGGUUCCUACCACAGCUGUAAACGGUGUUAAAACCCUCCCAGGGCUGCUGUCUUGCCCAGAACUCGACCUUGUGGCCGGGUAGACCCCAGACCCCACAUAUUCAAACGCCCUUCUAGUUUCUGACCUCAUUUACCCAGGCCUCCUUUGCAAGGCUAUUCCCUUCCAGAAGGUUCUUGCCUGAACCUGCAGGACUCCCUCAUUUGUUCCCUGUGCUGGGGCAUUGGCAUGAAGUCCCCCACAUCAAAACGCCUCCCCGGACAUCUCCCUUAAAAUGUCUGGGGAGUUCUUUCCUGCUUCUCACUGGAGCUCCUUGCUAUAGCAGGAAGUCAGGUCAGUGUCACUAGAAAACACUGGGACACGGAAAACGAGGAGUUAGAGGCGGCCCCUGCCCGGAUCAGAAUCCACCACUGUUACCACACAAAUGCUACAAACCAGGUGGUGCAAAGCAACACAGAAUUAUUCCUGCUCAGUUCUGGAGGCCAAAACCAAGUCGCCGACAAGGCCAUCCUCCCUCCAGAGGCUCCAGGGAAGGUCCUACCUGCCUCUUCCAGUUCUAGGGUUUCCAGGUGUCCUUGGCUUGUGGUCUCAUCCCUCCAGUCCCCGCCUCCUGUCACAUGGUCCUCAUCUCCCUAUUUUUCAGUCCCUCCCUGUGUCUUUAAAAAGGACCUUUGUCAUUGGAUUUAGAGGCCCCCAGGCUCAUCUCAUCUCAAGGCCCUUAAUCACAUCUGCAACCACCCUUCCGCCAGGAGAAAUGGAAACACAGCCCACACAAAACCUGCACACGCGUGUUCACAGCAGCACGAGCCACAACACCCCAAAGUGGAAACAACUCAGAUGACUCAACAGAUGAACAAAUAAACAAAUGUGGCCCCUCCACGCAGGAGAGCAUCACUCAGCCUGAUAAGGAGAGAAGCCCGACACUCGCUACCACGCGGACGGACCUGGAGACCACGACGCUCAGUGAGAGAAGCAGACACAGAAGGACACACGGGGUGGGAUGCCAUGGAUGGGAAACGUCCAGAACAGGCGCAUCCACAGACACAGAGCGCGGGUUUCUGGUUGUCAGGGGCUGGGGAGGGAAUGUUAACAGCUGGCAUUUCUUUCUCAGUGAUGGUAGUUGCACAGCUCUGAAUAUAUUGAAAACCACUGUGUCGUGCAUCGUAAAUGUAUGAUUAUGUGAAUUAGAGCUGAUAAAGCCAUUUUCAA